CAGGUAAGAACCCUCUAACCCCUUAUGAAAUGUUGAAUUAGUGAACUCUAUAUUGAUUAUAGUGAUAAUUGUGAUGUUACAUUGAAAUUGGUUAUCAGCGAGGGAAAAAAUGGAGAAAAGU